rnacentral:rRNA from 1 species
UACGUAGGGUGCGAGCGUUAAUCGGAAUCACUGGGCGUAAAGGGUGCGUAGGCGGGUCUUUAAGUCAGGGGGGAAAUCCUGGAGCUCAACUCCAGAACUGCCUUUGAUACUGAGGAUCUUGAGUACGGGAGAGGUGAGUGGAACUGCGAGUGUAGAGGUGAAAUUCGUAGAUAUUCGCAAGAACACCAGUGGCGAAGGCGGCUCACUGGCCCGUAACUGACGCUGAGGCACGAAAGCGUGGGGAGCAAACAGG